rnacentral:rRNA from 1 species
AAAUGACGGUACCUGACUAAGAAGCACCGGCUAAAUACGUGCCAGCAGCCGCGGUAAUACGUAUGGUGCAAGCGUUAUCCGGAUUUACUGGGUGUAAAGGGAGCGCAGGCGGUACGGCAAGUCUGAUGUGAAAUCCCGGGGCUCAACCCCGGUACUGCAUUGGAAACUGUCGGACUAGAGUGUCGGAGGGGUAAGUGGAAUUCCUAGUGUAGCGGUGAAAUGCGUAGAUAUUAGGAGGAACACCAGUGGCGAAGGCGGCUUACUGGACGAUUACUGACGCUGAGGCUCGAAAGCGUGGGGAGCAAAA